UACGUAGGGUGCGAGCGUUGUCCGGAAUUAUUGGGCGUAAAGAGCUCGUAGGCGGUGUGUCGCGUCGGCCGUGAAAACCUGGGGCUUAACUCUGGGCGUGCGGUCGAUACGGGCAUCACUAGAGUUCGGCAGGGGAGACUGGAAUUCCUGGUGUAGCGGUGAAAUGCGCAGAUAUCAGGAGGAACACCGGUGGCGAAGGCGGCUGACUGGACACAUAUUGACGCUGAGGCUCGAAAGCAUGGGGAGCAAACAGG
rnacentral:rRNA from 1 species